ACAGGGGGCCAUACCAACCUGAACAGGCCCGAUCUCAUCUGAUCUCAGAAGCUAAGUAGGGUCAGGUCUGGUUAGUACUCGAGAGAGGGAAUUAGACAACUGCAGCUU
rnacentral:rRNA from 1 species